rnacentral:rRNA from 1 species
AUACGGAGGAUGCGAGCGUUAUCCGGAUUUAUUGGGUUUAAAGGGUGCGUAGGCGGGUUGCCAAGUCAGGGGUGAAAUCCCGGAGCCUAACUCCGGAACUGCCUUUGAUACUGGCAGUCUUGAAUUCGGAUGCCGUGGGAGGAAUGAGUAGUGUAGCGGUGAAAUGCAUAGAUAUUACUCAGAACACCGAUUGCGAAGGCAUCUCACGUAUACGUCAGUGACGACGAUGCUCGAAAGCGUGGGGAUCAAACAGGAUUAGAUACCGUGGUAGUCCACGCAGUAAGCGAUGAUGAUCAAACUUAGGCGAUAGACAGGCGGUGGCCAAGCGAAAACGAUAAGGCAUACAGCUGGGGAGUUCGACCGCAAGGUUGAAACUCGAAUGAAUUGACGGGG